AAUCAACGCUGGCGGCGUGCCUAACACAUGCAAGUCGAACGCGAAAGGGGAGCAAUCCCUGAGUAGAGUGGCAAACGGGUGAGUAACACGUGGGUGACCUGCCUUCGAGUGGGGGAUAACGUUCCGAAAGGAACGCUAAUACCGCAUGACAUCCUGCUUUUGGAGAAGCGGAGAUCAAAGCUGGGGAUUCGCAAGAACCUAGCGCUUGAAGAGGGGCCCGCGCCUGAUUAGCUAGUUGGUGGGGUAACGGCUCACCAAGGCUUCGAUCAGUAUCCGGCCUGAGAGGGCGGACGGACACACUGGGACUGAGACACGGCCCAGACUCCUACGGGAGGCAGCAGUGGGGAAUAUUGCGCAAUGGCCUAACGGCUGACGCAGCGACGCCGCGUGUGGGAUGACGCCCUUCGGGGUGUAAACCACUGUUGCUCGAGACGAAUAGCGAGCUUAGCUCGCCUGACGGUAUCGAGUGAGGAAGCACCGGCUAACUCCGUGCCAGCAGCCGCGGUA
rnacentral:rRNA from 1 species